CACCUCAACCUCCCAAAGUGCUGGGAUUACAGAUGGUGUCAGAAGCGGGGUUCAAAGUAGAGCUUUAAUGACCCCCAGAAGUGCUGAGUGAACAAGCAAGGUACCUGCAAGGACCCACUUGUGUCCUUUGAUCUCUCAGAGCAGUGGUAUUUACACACAGAUGCUCCAUGAUGGGUCACAUCCAAACUUAUCAUAAAGUCAAAAAAUUGUAAGUCAGACUAUCACAAGUCAGAAACCAUCUGUAUGUACAUUCUUGUGUCUAGUCACUUGUGUGGGAAUGAAGGAGGGAGGAGGGAAGAAGGAGGAGAGGUGUAUCUGGUGUAGAUAGUUUAAAUUCCAGAUUUCCCCUCAAGAGGAAAUUUUGGUCUUCAAAUUAUAAUUCUGUGGUUUUCCUGUUGUCUGCUGACAAGUUUUUAACUAAUGUAGAAUCAAGGGAUUUUACGCUACAGAAAGUUUAUUCCUAAGAUGAGUGUCUCGAUCUAAUCUUAUUUCAUAGUUGUUACAUCUGUGUAUGAAAUGUAUCAUUAUUUAUGUAUG
rnacentral:lncRNA from 1 species